CCACGCCCGAAGUCGUUACCCCAACCGAAAGGGGGGGAUGCCUAAGGUAGGACUGAUGACUGGGGUGAAGUCGUAACAAGGUAGCCGUACCGGAAGGUGUGGCUGGAUCACCUCCUUUUAGGGAGACCUAAUCCAUUUAGAAAUCGAAAACAAUGAAAAUUGUCAAUAGAAACUAAAUUGGUCUAACCUAGGUCGUUCGAGAUUGGUAGAUAUCUUUCAAAGUAUUAUUCGGCUUCGUUCAAAACCAUAUAUAAUAAAUGGAAAAAGACAGCACCUAAUUGCCAAAGUUAGACUGCUGGAUGAAAUUCCAGCCAGAACCUUGAAAACUGCAUAAGAGAACGAGAAAAAGCAGGCAGACACAGACAUUUAGAUGGAUGUGAAAGCAAAGAAAAAUUGUGGUCAAGCUAAUAAGGGCUAAUGGUGGAUACCUAGGCACACAGAGGAAGGGC
rnacentral:misc_RNA from 1 species